CUUGCCCCUGGGGCUGUUGCAGGUAUGGCUUCUGUGUCACAUGUGUGUCAUUAGGUGUCAAGGAGGAAAGAGCCUGUGCCUAAGCUCAAUGUUCUGAUCUGUGAACAUCUGAGUGAUUAAUAGCCUAGUACU
ensembl:snoRNA